GAUGAACGCUAGCUACAGGCUUAACACAUGCAAGUCGAGGGGAAACGAUAUUGGAAGCUUGCUUCCGAUAGGCGUCGACCGGCGCACGGGUGAGUAACGCGUAUCCAACCUGCCCACCACGUGGGGAUAACCUUGCGAAAGUAAGACUAAUACCCAAUGACGUCUCUAGAAGACAUCUGAAGGAGAUUAAAGAUUUAUCGGUGAUGGAUGGGGAUGCGUCUGAUUAGCUUGUUGGCGGGGUAACGGCCCACCAAGGCGACGAUCAGUAGGGGUUCUGAGAGGAAGGUACCCCACAUUGGAACUGAGACACGGUCCAAACUCCUACGGGAGGCAGCAGUGAGGAAUAUUGGUCAAUGGGCGAGAGCCUGAACCAGCCAAGUAGCGUGCAGGAUGACGGCCCUAUGGGUUGUAAACUGCUUUUAUAAGGGAAUAAAGUGAGUCUCGUGAGACUUUUUGCAUGUACCUUAUGAAUAAGGACCGGCUAAUUCCGUGCCAGCCGCCGCGGUAA
rnacentral:rRNA from 1 species